AAUAAAUGAUGUUGAUGAUGUCGUUGAAUCUGAAGCUUCUAGAAGAAUAGCAUAGGCUCUUCAUUCCUUACUCCGACUCUAAACGUCCACGGCUUACGGAACUAUAACGUGUCUCUCCAGAUUUUAUCGGAGAACGUGGGGAAAACCUAACCACUUCGGACGAUAGAUGACUGAGCUUAAUUGAGGGAU
rnacentral:ribozyme from 1 species